CGAACAGCCAGCGCAAAGAGGCGCUGGCGAGAACAGCCAAUCUAGACCGUGAACAAGCCGUGCAGGGAUUCGGCUAUACGGCGACGCGUUGCGUCUGAAGGACCGGGAAGUGGCUAAAAAUUGCAAGCCCUGCAACCAGUGUGGACGGAUUCUAUCAGCGUUUUAUAGAUCGUCAAUACUAUAGAAUGUCAAAACUAUAACUAAUUGUAA
rnacentral:sRNA from 1 species